UGGCCAGACUCCUACGGGAGGCAGCAGUGGGGAGUAUUGCACAAUGGGGGAAACCCUGAUGCAGCGACGCCGCGUGAGCGAUGAAGUAUUUCGGUAUGUAAAGCUCUAUCAGCAGGGAAGAAAAUGACGGUACCUGACUAAGAAGCCCUGGCUAACUACGUGCCAGCAGCCGCGGUAAUACGUAGGGGGCAAGCGUUAUCCGGAUUUACUGGGUGUAAAGGGAGCGUAGACGGUCCUGCAAGCCAGAUGUGAAAGCCCGGGGCUCAACCCCGGGACUGCAUUUGGAACUGUAAGGCUAGAGUGUCGGAGAGGCAGGCGGAAUUCCUAGUGUAGCGGUGAAAUGCGUAGAUAUUGGGAAGAACACCGGCGGCGAAGGCGGCCUUCUGGGCCACGACUGACGCUGAGGCGCGAAAGCUAGGGGAGCGAACAGGAUUAGAUACCCCGGUACC
rnacentral:rRNA from 1 species